rnacentral:ribozyme from 1 species
GAUUAGAAGAAGAAGAAGAAGAAGGAAGAGGAGGAGGAAGAGAAGAUGAAGGAUUUGUUGGAAUACUUUUAUAAUUUUGAUUCUUUAAUUCCAUUUUUCUUUUCUUUUGUUUUCU